rnacentral:rRNA from 1 species
GACGAACGCUGGCGGCGUGCUUAACACAUGCAAGUCGAACGGAAAGGCCUGCUUUCCCUUGUGGAUUGCGGGUACUCGAGUGGCGAACGGGUGAGUAACACGUGAGUGAUCUGCCCCCAACUUGGGUAUAAGCCUGGGAAACUGGGUCUAAUUCCCGAUAGGACUGCAGGGUGGUGCCUGUGGUGGAAAACGAUUUUCUAGUGGUUGGGGAUGAGCUCGCGGCCUAUCAGCUUGUUGGUGGGGUAAUGGCCUACCAAGGCGGCGACGGGUAGCCGGCCUGAGAGGGUGGACGGCCACAGUGGGGCUGAGAUGCGGCCCAGACUCCGACGGGAGGCAGCAGUGGGGAAGAUUGCACGAUGUGCGGAAGCCUGAUGCAGCGACGCCGCGUGGGGGAUGACGGCCUUCGGGUUGUAAACUCCUUUCGACCGCGAGGAAGCCACCUGGUUGGAAGGGUGGUGACGGUAGUGGUAGAAGAAGCACCGGCUAACUACGUG